GCCGAUAGGGCUGCAAUUUCAGGGCACUUUGAUAUAGUGUUAUUUAAAGAUAUAUUCUUUCGUCGGUA
rnacentral:tRNA from 1 species